rnacentral:rRNA from 1 species
UUAUCGGAGAGUUUGAUCCUGGCUCAGGACGAACGCUGGCGGCGUGCCUAAUACAUGCAAGUCGAGCGGACAGAUGGGAGCUUGCUCCCUGAUGUUAGCGGCGGACGGGUGAGUAACACGUGGGUAACCUGCCUGUAAGACUGGGAUAACUCCGGGAAACCGGGGCUAAUACCGGAUGGUUGUCUGGACCGCAUGGUUCAGACAUAAAAGGUGGCUUCGGCUACCACUUACAGAUGGACCCGCGGCGCAUUAGCUAGUUGGUGAGGUAACGGCUCACCAAGGCGACGAUGCGUAGCCGACCUGAGAGGGUGAUCGGCCACACUGGGACUGAGACACGGCCCAGACUCCUACGGGAGGCAGCAGUAGGGAAUCUUCCGCAAUGGACGAAAGUCUGACGGAGCAACGCCGCGUGAGUGAUGAAGGUUUUCGGAUCGUAAAGCUCUGUUGUUAGGGAAGAACAAGUGCCGUUCAAAUAGGGCGGCACCUUGACGGUACCUAACCAGAAAGCCACGGCUAACUACGUGCCAGCAGCCGCGGUAAUACGUAGGUGGCAAGCGUUGUCCGGAAUUAUUGGGCGUAAAGGGCUCGCAGGCGGUUUCUUAAGUCUGAUGUGAAAGCCCCCGGCUCAACCGGGGAGGGUCAUUGGAAACUGGGGAACUUGAGUGCAGAAGAGGAGAGUGGAAUUCCACGUGUAGCGGUGAAAUGCGUAGAGAUGUGGAGGAACACCAGUGGCGAAGGCGACUCUCUGGUCUGUAACUGACGCUGAGGAGCGAAAGCGUGGGGAGCGAACAGGAUUAGAUACCCUGGUAGUCCACGCCGUAAACGAUGAGUGCUAAGUGUUAGGGGGUUUCCGCCCCUUAGUGCUGCAGCUAACGCAUUAAGCACUCCGCCUGGGGAGUACGGUCGCAAGACUGAAACUCAAAGGAAUUGACGGGGGCCCGCACAAGCGGUGGAGCAUGUGGUUUAAUUCGAAGCAACGCGAAGAACCUUACCAGGUCUUGACAUCCUCUGACAAUCCUAGAGAUAGGACGUCCCCUUCGGGGGCAGAGUGACAGGUGGUGCAUGGUUGUCGUCAGCUCGUGUCGUGAGAUGUUGGGUUAAGUCCCGCAACGAGCGCAACCCUUGAUCUUAGUUGCCAGCAUUCAGUUGGGCACUCUAAGGUGACUGCCGGUGACAAACCGGAGGAAGGUGGGGAUGACGUCAAAUCA